rnacentral:tRNA from 1 species
GCCUGGGUGGCUCAGUGGUUGAGCACCUGCCUUAGACUCAGGACAUGAUCCUGGAGUUCCGGGAUCAAGUCCCACAUCAGGCU